UACGGAGGGGGCUAGCGUUGUUCGGAAUUACUGGGCGUAAAGCGCACGUAGGCGGACUGUUAAGUCGGGGGUGAAAUCCUGGGGCUCAACCUCAGAAUUGCCUCCGAUACUGGCAGUCUCGAGUGCGGGAGAGGUGAGUGGAAUUCCCAGUGUAGAGGUGAAAUUCGUAGAUAUCAGGAAGAACACCCGUGGCUAAGGCGGCUCUCUAGUACGGUACUGACGCUGAGACGCGAAAGCGUGGGGAGCGAACAGG
rnacentral:rRNA from 1 species